GGACCAGGUGUGUUCAGCAAGCAAACGUGUUCAAGUAGAAGCUGCACUGCACCUUGUAAACUGCAAAGUGGCUUAUGGUAACUGGAACUUCUAGAUUCAGUAUUCUGUAUACAAAUGAAAAAUCUUGGAUAAUUAAGACUGAAGUCACUGAGAAUUUCAGUAUGCUGACUUUAAAGGUUCUAAGGAAACUCAGGUACUGAUGCUUAGCUCUAUAAAAUAAAACAAUAUCUAACCCGUAUUUUACUAAGUUUAUUACAGACCAUAAUAUUUACAAACUUGUAUUUUAACUGUGAAGUUUCUGUUGUGUGGUUGUUGGUUUUUUUUAAUUUAUUAUUAUUUUUUAAAGAACUACGCCCUACUUUAAGACUUUAAGUAACCCUACAACAAGUACAGGUCAUUAACUGAAUCUGUGCGACUGCAUUAGGAAACAGGCAGUACUCUUGUGUUACAACAAAACAGUUUAUUUGUGAUCAGUGUUUUAUAUUCUAUACAUCCUUCACAAAUUUAAUUUUACAUAAUUGGAUACUUCAUUUAAAACGUAAGGUUUAAGCUUCUAGUUCUUCCCUAUAACAGAAGGCUGGUAUAAGUUAUUUGAAAAUGAGGUAACAUUUCACAGAACAUUUUUUUUCAAGUUUUAGAGAACUAAAUUUGCAUUUUGUUAAAAUCAAAAAGUAGGAAAAAGAUGUUUCUUUACAAAUGACUUUGCUCAAGUAUGUGUUCAAAGGAAACAGGAUAAAAAGGCUUUUUUCUUCUAACAUUCUGUACUGUACUGUGUUGUUCAAUCAAUAGGAAUUAGCUUCUGCCAUUUGCUAAAAGAAUGAGUAGUGGGGAACAGG